UGCUGGAGGUAUCAGAAGUGCGAAUGCUGACAUAAGUAACGAUAAAGCGGGUGAAAAGCCCGCUCGCCGGAAGACCAAGGGUUCCUGUCCAACGUUAAUCGGGGCAGGGUGAGUCGACCCCUAAGGCGAGGCCGAAAGGCGUAGUCGAUGGGAAACGGGUUAAUAUUCCCGUACUUGGUGUUACUGCGAAGGGGGGACGGAGAAGGCUAUGUUGGCCGGGCGACGGUUGUCCCGGUUUAAGCGUGUAGGUGUGUGUUCCAGGUAAAUCCGGUUCACUUUAACACUGAGGCGUGANGACGAGGCACUACGGUGCUGAAGCAACAAAUGCCCUGCUUCCAGGAAAAGCCUCUAAGCAUCAGGUAACANGAAAUCGUACCCCAAACCGACACAGGUGGUCAGGUAGAGAAUACCAAGGCGCUUGAGAGAACUCGGGUGAAGGAACUAGGCAAAAUGGUGCCGUAACUUCGGGAGAAGGCACGCUGACACGUAGGUGAAGUGAUUUACUCANGGAGCUGAAGUCAGUCGAAGAUACCAGCUGGCUGCAACUGUUUAUUAAAAACACAGCACUGUGCAAACACGAAAGUGGACGUAUACGGUGUGACGCCUGCCCGGUGCCGGAAGGUUAAUUGAUGGGGUCAGCGNAAGCGAAGCUCCUGAUCGAAGCCCCGGUAAACGGCGGCCGUAACUAUAACGGUCCUAAGGUAGCGAAAUUCCUUGUCGGGUAAGUUCCGACCUGCACGAAUGGCGUAAUGAUGGCCAGGCUGUCUCCACCCGAGACUCAGUGAAAUUGAACUCGCUGUGAAGAUGCAGUGUACCCGCGGCAAGACGGAAAGACCCCGUGAACCUUUACUAUAGCUUGACACUGAACAUUGAGCCUUGAUGUGUAGGAUAGGUGGGAGGCUUUGAAGUGUGGACGCCAGUCUGCAUGGAGCCGACCUUGAAAUACCACCCUUUAAUGUUUGAUGUUCUAACGUGGACCCGUAAUCCGGGUUGCGGACAGUGUCUGGUGGGUAGUUUGACUGGGGCGGUCUCCUCCUAAAGAGUAACGGAGGAGCACGAAGGUUGGCUAAUCCUGGUCGGACAUCAGGAGGUUAGUGCAAUGGCAUAAGCCAGCUUGACUGCGAGCGUGACGGCGCGAGCAGGUGCGAAAGCAGGUCAUAGUGAUCCGGUGGUUCUGAAUGGAAGGGCCAUCGCUCAACGGAUAAAAGGUACUCCGGGGAUAACAGGCUGAUACCGCCCAAGAGUUCAUAUCGACGGCGGUGUUUGGCACCUCGAUGUCGGCUCAUCACAUCCUGGGGCUGAAGUAGGUCCCAAGGGUAUGGCUGUUCGCCAUUUAAAGUGGUACGCGAGCUGGGUUUAGAACGUCGUGAGACAGUUCGGUCCCUAUCUGCCGUGGGCGCUGGAGAACUGAGGGGGGCUGCUCCUAGUACGAGAGGACCGGAGUGGACGCAUCACUGGUGUUCGGGUUGUCAUGCCAAUGGCACUGCCCGGUAGCUAAAUGCGGAAGAGAUAAGUGCUGAAAGCAUCUAAGCACGAAACUUGCCCCGAGAUGAGUUCUCCCUGAGACUUAGAGUCUCCUGAAGGAACGUUGAAGACGACGACGUUGAUAGGCCGGGUGUGUAAGCGCAGCGAUGCGUUGAGCUAACCGGUACUAAUGAACCGUGAGGCUUAACCUUACAACGCCGAAG
rnacentral:rRNA from 1 species